GACGAACGCUGGCGGCGUGCCUAACACAUGCGAGUCGAACGGGGUAAUUUCUUCGGAGAUUACUUAGUGGCGAACGGGUGAGUAACGCGUGAGAAACCUGCCUCUCAGUGGGGGACAACAGUUGGAAACGACUGCUAAUACCGCAUAACAUAUUCGAAGGGCAUCCUUUGGAUAUCAAAGCUUUAUGUGCUGAGAGAUGGUCUCGCGUCUGACUAGCUAGAUGGCGGGGUAACGGCCCACCAUGGCAACGAUCAGUAGCCGGUCUGAGAGGAUGAACGGCCACAUUGGGACUGAGAUACGGCCCAGACUCCUACGGGAGGCAGCAGUGGGGAAUAUUGGGCAAUGGGGGAAACCCUGACCCAGCAACGCCGCGUGAAGGAAGAA
rnacentral:rRNA from 1 species